rnacentral:siRNA from 1 species
AUAGAAGUGGUCAAUUAUGCCUA